UACGGAGGGUGCAAGCGUUAUCCGGAUUUACUGGGUUUAAAGGGUGCGCAGGCGGAUAUGUAAGUCAGUGGUGAAAUCUCCGGGCUUAACCCGGAAAUUGCCGUUGAUACUAUAUAUCUUGAAUGCUGUGGACGUAAGCAGAAUAUGUCAUGUAGCGGUGAAAUGCUUAGAUAUGACAUAGAAUACCUAUUGCGAAGGCAGCUUACUACGCAGAUAUUGACGCUCAUGCACGAAAGCGUGGGGAUCAAACAGG
rnacentral:rRNA from 1 species